GCCAGCAUCCAUAUCACCCUGCAACUCACAACUGGCAGCCCACUGAAGCUAGGCAGGUGUGACCCUGACCAGUACCUGGAUGGGAGACCUCCUGGGAAAAACUAAGGUUGCUGCUGGAA
rnacentral:rRNA from 1 species